rnacentral:rRNA from 1 species
UACGUAGGGUGCAAGCGUUGUCCGGAAUUAUUGGGCGUAAAGAGCUCGUAGGCGGUCUGUCGCGUCUGCUGUGAAAACCUAGGGCUUAACCCUGGGCCUGCAGUGGGUACGGGCAGACUAGAGUGCGGUAGGGGAGACUGGAAUUCCCGGUGUAGCGGUGAAAUGCGCAGAUAUCGGGAAGAACACCCGUGGCGAAGGCGGUUCUCUGGGACGGUACUGACGCUGAGACGCGAAAGCGUGGGGAGCGAACAGG